UCAUAUUUGAGGUGUUUUCAAAGCCUGGCUUAAAUAUUCAAUUCAUUUGCUUUUAAAACUUCAGAACAGGAAAUUUAACACCUUCUUUAAUGAACACAGAAUAAUUUAGUUCCAUUCCCAAUUAAGCUAAUAGGGAGGGAAGGGAGAAAGUUAGGGAACUAUAAAGAGGGGCAUGUGGCUGCAGGAAGGGGGAGAGAGAGUGAGAGAGAGAGGAGGGGGACAAGGAGGGAGGGGUGUGAAGACAGGGAAGGAGCCUCGGGGUUUGCAAAUGAAGCGGGGCAGGUUUUGGACGCAGACACCAGCUGCUGUGCUGUUAAGGACACAACUGGGACCCAGUCCAGCUCCCAGCCUGUUGACCUCCCCCUGUCGCUGUCAACACAGCCACCUACAACCACCCCAGGACAAUGGAGCUUGCUGGCCGGGGAGGUCCAGCUCCACAAACAUAUGUAAAGAUACCAGCUUUGAACUGCAUCCCCAUGCGUACUACUGGCACAUAAGCCCUUGGAUGGUUAUUUCACUUCUCUGAGCUGCUGUACACUCAUCCAUAAGUCUGUACAUGAAGAAUAUACACCUCAAAGGGUUGGUGGGCAGGUGAGAUGGGAUGAAUGCAGACAUGCAAUAGUGGGUGGGACGUAUGAAAUGCCAGCUAUCUGCCAGGCAUUGGGCUAAAUGGUUUACAUGCUUUAUCUCGUUCUAUCUCCUCCACAUGGCCUUAUGGAGGUGGACACUAUUACUGACCUCCUGUCAGAAAUGUGGAAACCGAAACUCAGAAUGGGGAAAUUCUUCUCCAGGUGGCUCAGCUGGUGGUGGUGGAGCCAGACCCUCUGCUGCAGAGCCCACAUGCUGCCAUGCCUUCAGCACCGUGCCUGGCAGUGACCCUGCCACAUGUGACUGCACAGGUCUGCUGCAGAGGUCAGAGUGAGACAACCCAUGAGUAAGUGCUAGCACCCUCCAGGUCCUUGAGAAUGUUUGUUGAAUGACUGACCAAACGUGGAUGAGCUCAUCAAAUAAUUGUCAUACUCCUUGGCUGCUUUCUCUAAUCAUUAACUUUAUAGGAGCAUCCCUCUGACAGAAACCUUAUGGAAAAUCUCUAAUCCCGAAUUAUACAAGGGUCGGGUCUAACUAAAAGAUGACAAGAGAGUCAUUUGUGUUGUGACCUCAGUUAUUUUAUAGCACCGCUGAACCUAUCAUAUGUUUUUUUUUUUUUGCCAGUGAUCAAACAACAGGACAGCAAAGCAUAAAUGCCAGGUCUAGGGCAAGCCCUCCCUUCUCCCACCUGGUCCAACUGGCACUGGACUUCCCCAGUGUGCCGUGGGCAACCUGACACCCAGUCUACCCCGGGGCACAGAGCUGGCUGCCUCCAGACUCUCCUUGCCUUUGAUGGGGCCUCUCCCUGGACUGGUAGCAAUGGCUUUGCAUGGUUGUUUCCCACCUUUUGGGAUAGACUUCCCUUUCAAAACUUGUCUAAAAAAAUAACCCCAUGAAUUUAUCCCUAACCACAAUGAAGAAGAUACAUAGAACAGAGUGAGGCCAUGUAUGGAAAAGGGCUUUGAAAUUUUCUUGAAAAUUGAGGUACAAAUGCAAGAUUUUAAAAGUCAGUUCCAUUGCCAAAAGGCCAAAGCAAUCCAGUGUCCAUGAUGGGUGAAAGUUUAACCAAACAUGGUCUAUACGUACAUGGGGAUAUUAUUCAGCCUACAAAAGGAAGGGAAUUCUGAAACGUGUUGCAACAUAGAGGAAGCUUGACAACAUCAUGCUGAGUGAAAGAAGCCAAGAACAAGGACAAGUACUGUAUGGCUCCACUUCCGGGAGUAACCUCGAGAGGUCAAGUUCAGUCCGAUGGGGAGUUAUUGUUGUUUAAGGGACAGAGUUUCAGCAAUGAAAGGUGAUCUGAGAUGGAUGGUGGUAAUGGCUGCACCCAACUGAACAUUUCAAACUGGUUAGAAGAGUCUCCGUGGAGAUGACCAGUGUAAACAGAUCCUUGUAUCCUUCCAGAAAUACUCCCUUGGACACAAUGAAAUGGAACCAGAAGUGCUCAGAGCACAUGCAGAGGCCGUUCCUCUAAGUGAGCCAAGGCUAAGGGUUCUGCCCUUCAUUUUCACCGGCAAAGAAACAGUGGAAAUAGGAGCCAGCAGGACUGGAGGCGGCAGGGAUCCCCUCUGGGUUCCUUGGCAGAUCACCUAACAUGAAAAGGAACUGUGUGGGGGUAGGAUGUGAUCGGCCAAGUGUCAGGUGCUUUUCAUCCAGGACCAAGCUAGCUUAGCUUUAAAAGAGUGAUGGCUGAAGACACAAUGCAGUUGGCAAAAGAAGUCACGGCUCUCGUGUGUGAUAGAGGAUAAAGGUUCAAUGUGGCAGAUGAGGGCCUUCUCUGAAGAGGUCGCUGUGUGGUGUGGAAGCUUGGGAAAAGAAAGCUGUUUCAUGUAAGCUGCCCAAGGUGUACGUUUAUGAAGGGGGGGGGGGCGGCAUCUCUCCACAGUUGAACUGUGGGUGUCCCCAAACAAGAAACAAGAGAACUAGAUGGUUCCCAGGUGACAUGCCAGGAGAUUGACAACAGGAUGGGGCCCAGGUCUGGGGAUUAUAUUAGAAAGGAUCUGACAUGUCCCGUUGGAGGGAGGCCCAAUUCUGAAGGUGGAAGACUUCAAUGAAGUAGAGGAGGAAGGAGAGGGCAAAUCAGGCAACUACAUACAACAAAAGACCUGAGUGAACCUAUUUUGCAAGGGGACGGUCUUGGAGAUGAAACUGGGAGAGGCAAAAAGGAAUGGGUUUGGAGCCUGAGGCCUGGGCUCAGUCUGGUUCUAAUACUUGUUAGCAGUGUGAACCUGGCAAGUCAAACUCCUCCUGUGUCAGUUUCCUAAUGAAGAUUAACACCCAAGAGAUAAUAAUAGUCUUUCCUUGGGGUGUUGUGUGAUCAGCUGAGUUGCUAUACAAUGAAGGCUUAGAACAAUGCCUGGCACAAAGCUAACUCAACGCUUUUCAGCUACUAGUACUUUUAAUAAAGGCCUGUUCAGGCCUGUUUUGCUGGCACAGAAAUACGUGGCGAUGAGUCUGGAAAAGCACACCCACAGAUGGGUUUCACGUAGCGAUAGUGAGGGAAAAGGGGAUGAAGAGAAAGGACAUACCAGGAAGAAUGGGAAAAAGCGUUCAGGGCGGAACUAUUUCAGAGAAAACAGCCUCCUUGGUAGGCUACCUGUUCAAAGCUAGAUGGUUUAAGGGAAUGACUCUUGGAAAUUAAAUGGAGAAAGCUUAAGUUCAGUUCGAAGCAUUCUUUUUGUUGCACACUUAGGGCUCCAGUGAUAUUGCCGAGGACUGUGGCCGGGUCAUGCACCAGGAACCUAAGAGCUCUAAGUCAGGAGAGUUGGGUUCCAGUUCUAACUCUGCCCAGAGCAGCGGAUGCAAUAUUGAGCCAAGUCAAUGAACAACUGUCAUUU